CGAGGCAAAGAGAGAGAGAGAGAAAGAGAGAGAGGGAGAGGGAGUGAGACGAGGAUCGUAGCCUCGACAGAGCCGUGUUCCAGUACGGUGGGUGGGGUGAGAGGGGUGGAGAGCGUUCGCAAAGUGUCCCUAAAACUUUUACAAUCGCUCGGCUUGGUUCGCUCGCUCGCUCGUUCGCUUGCUUGCUCGCUCGCUCGCUCGCUCUCGCGUUCUCGCUAGGGCUAUGCUUGAUGGCGUAUCUUCCAAUGUGAGUUGGCCAUAAUACUAAGAUGUACGGCUGCGCCGGUAGGGGUCCCGCUCGGUCUCUCACUUACUACCUUAUAGUAUAGCAAACGCGUAUACCGAACGUACGGCCGUUCCAUCGCCGUUGGCCAACAGUAUUUCGCCGGUAUUUUCGGUUUCUAGUCGCGGGUUUGCCAUUCCCAUCCAAAGUUUUCGUCCUCUCCCAAUACCGGAAACACUGUGGCUCUCCACGACGACGGGAGCCUCGGGAUACUGGAUCCUCGCAUGCUUAUUCACCGCGUGUAACAACCGCGUAUUAUUUCGUAUAUUUCCGCGGAAAUAUUUUCCUCGUACUUUUUCUUUCUUUCUUUCUUUCUUUCUUUCUCUUUUUCCUAAUUAUCUCGUAACCAGUCUCGUUCUUCGGUCCCCCCCCCCUCUCUUUCUCUCUCUCCCUCAAUUUUGCGCGUUUGCGAAUUUUCUCCCCCUCUCCCCCCCUCUCGAGAGCGGGGGAGAGAGAGAUACGUGUGCUAAUCGAUCUCCGUGGUAUUUUGAUAUAUAAAUAGAGGAGGUUAUGGAGGAGUUAUGUUUGCCAGUGAUGUGCAAAAGGGGGAGAGGAUGUUCGAUGUUCCAGUUGCGCGGAGAAGUACACCGUGGAGCCCACGUGAUUUGUCCGGUUGUUGCGUGAUGGUUAGUGCGUGUCGUCGUCCAUCGCCGCCGUCGGAGGGAAGUAAUUAAGGAGGAGACGAUGAUGAGUGUAUCAACAUUAUCAAAAGCGAAAAUUUGGCGGUCCAGCAUCCAAUGGAACAAUUUCUAUCAAGGAACAAUCGAGAGGAAGGAAGCGGGCUAUUUUUGUGGAACAGAUAGGUCAAGAAGUUGGAAGACGAGUGAUGGGGCAAGCGAAGACGCGCGCAUCAAACGAACGAGAGGAUUGGUAAAACGAUUCGGCUUUCUAUGUAGAUCAGUUGAGACAAAGUAGAAAGAAUCGCGUAUCUAUACGAACCAUCACACUGAAAAUACUUCUCGGGAAAUAGCUUUUCAGAAAUUGCUUUACGGUAUAGAAAUAAUCGUCGAACGAGCGAGCGACCGACCGACCAGUCGACCAAGGUUCGAAACAUGGCGAACGAAGCAUAAAAAAUUUUUCUAGAUAAUCUAAUCAUACGUAGAGAAGAAAAGUACAUAAAAAAUUUCAUGAUUUUCGUUGAUAUUGAAUUCGCUAUUAAUUAAAAACAUAUAUUUUGUGACACGAAUUAAAUAAAUCAUUUAUUUAAAGGAAACAAAAAAAAAAAAUUUUACUAGAUGAAGAACUAUAUGCAAGAAGAACUAUAUGUGCAAUUAUUACUAGUAACACUUACGUUUAAAUAGAAGAGUAGACUAUACAACACGAAUUCGAACGAGUUUAGCCGAACGUGGACGAAUUAGAAAAAGAGAGAUAUACUAAUUGCAAUAUUUAUUCGUUAUAAGCUCACAGUUUAGCAUCAGCCACGAAUACGAGUAUGUAUUUUGUAGAAUCAUAAAAUUCUAUUUUCAUUUUAUUAGAAACGACGGCUAGCGAAAACUCAAUCCAAACUAUUUAGAGAAAUUUAUUUUGUAUUGUGUGAAAUUAUUUGUUUCAUUGGAUUCAAGUUAGAUUCUAUCAACUGAUGGGAAUGAUUCAAACAACGAACGAAUACUACGUAUGUUUGCCAAGGUCCAAGGUAAUAACUAACAUGAUCAAUUUCGAAACUCUUCGUUUAAUUAAACUGAAAGCAAAAAACAGUUGCACUGCGACAACUUUCAAUGUUAUGGAUACAUUUGUUUAGAAAGCAAAUUGAAUAUCCGUUCGAUUCUUCGUUUCGCAUUCGGUAGCACAUAGUCUCAGCUUUUACCCGAUAACAACUUCGUCCGAUAUCCAAUUUGGAUGGAUACACAGUUGCUUGGAAAGGUCACGUAUUCCGAACGACGCUGCCGCUGCGUAUUACCCGGAAUAAAAUUUGAUGGGGCUACGGUAAAGGACUGCGGAAUUUUCGAAUAUGACGAAUGGACCAGCGCGAUAGUUCCCUUGUAAUCUUUGGUCCUUCCUGUUUUAUGAACUGGUCGUUCGUCAUUCUACACGAUUCUUCGACUUACGAAUAUGACACCCGAGUUAAAAUGUAAUAUGACAAUUAUCUUGAAAAAGUAAUAUUUACUUUUGACAUUUCAUUGGGAGUACACAGUGUUCUCUAUAUAAGAUGAUCGAAUGGCAUAUAAUUAUUUGAAUCUAAAUAUUUCAAAACUCGAUCUUUUAUUUAAAUAUUCACCUUUCAUCUUCAAAAAAACGAAAUUCACGAAAUUCAACACAUGUAAUAUAUUCCCCGUGAAACGUGUCCUCGAGUCAAGAAUCGCAUCAGUGUUCCUAUCACGUAAGUCAACAACAAUGAACAAAAAAAAACGAGAAAAAUAUAAUCAAGAUUCGAUUCUACUCACACCAGUAAGCGGAUAUAUCGUAUUGCAAUCUCGAAAAUCGA